GGAGGAAAGUAGGGGAUCGCAAGACCUUGCGCUCUUGGAGCGGCCGAUGUCUGAUUAGCUAGUUGGUGAGGUAAAGGCUUACCAAGGCGACGAUCAGUAGCUGGUCUGAGAGGACGACCAGCCACACUGGGACUGAGACACGGCCCAGACUCCUACGGGAGGCAGCAGUGGGGAAUUUUGGACAAUGGGGGAAACCCUGAUCCAGCCAUGCCGCGUGAGUGAAGAAGGCCUUCGGGUUGUAAAGCUCUUUCAGCCGGAACGAAACGGUCACGGCUAAUACCUGUGACUACUGACGGUACCGGAAGAAGGAGCACCGGCUAACUACGUGCCAGCAGCCGCGGUAAUACGCAGGGUGCAAGCGUUAAUCGGAAUUACUGGGCGUAAAGCGUGCGCAGGCGGUUUUGUAAGUCAGAUGUGAAAUCCCCGGGCUUAACCUGGGAACUGCGUUUGAAACUACAAGGCUAG
rnacentral:rRNA from 1 species